CUUUCACAACAGCCGUCGCGGGGAGAUGGGAACAGAUAAAUCAAGGAAAAACAUAGUGAGGCAGCCCUUCUCCCCUUCCCCUUAAGCACAGUGACUGACUAGCGGAAAGAACAAGAACCUGUGGAAAGUUCUGCCUACGCCACCACUGGAAACACUGAACUUUUCUGGUCAAUGUCUAACAAAUGUCACAAAGUGAUACCAGAAGCGAUAAAUGCCAAAAUGCCAAUGCUUCUGAACGUGCCAUUCAAUUCUUAAAGUAGAGAAACAGAUUAUAGUUUUCACCACCAUUCUUGCUGACAUGGUAAAUAACAUUCCAAGCUGUGAAAUCAGGAAUUGAGCAACAUUUAGGAAGACGCUAACUGGUUUGCAGACUAUGGAGUUCAUGGGGUUCAGUCUCUGCGCUGCGAGGAUAAGCUCCCUGAAGAGACACCGCUUCCUUGCAGCUUCCAAACCACACAAAGUCAUAGCCUCCAGCUAAAUGGUGCACCAACCCACGGCCAUCAGCCCGAAAGAGGCAGGGAGGAAGUGUCCCAGAACCAGAAAGGAUAUCUGAUGAAUAACACAACCAGGAUCAUUCCAUGUCAUUUGGCUGGAGACUGAGAGUCGAUUGAUCUGCAUCCUGAACGUCUAGUGCUUUUGUGGCUUCCAGCACCUGGCAGAGAUGUGAGGAGAGGAGGAAAAAGCUGAGAAGAAAUGGGUAAGUGAACAGGAGCUGAGAAAAUGUUACUGAAGGUGGAGAAUGGGUCCCAUGGGUCUCUUGUACACCGAUCCACCUGAACACAGUUGCUUUGACAUUCCUGAAGCAUGUGCGGGUAACAAAAGUUGUUGAAAGCUGAUGAUUUUGGAAAAAGAAGGGCUUGAGAUGCGGGGUGGCUGGAGAUGGAGUCUGCCCUGGCCCUGUGCCACAAGGCCUUCUGUUAAGCCUUUUUCUCCUGGGCUGUGUGACAAGCUGUUCGAAGGCAGCACCGUGCUCGCUGGUGUGGUGGGGAGCUGAGUGAGGGUCCUGCCCGUCUCACUCGGCACCUGGGACCUGGUGACCGGAAUUCACACCUAACCAUUCACAUAACUUGGUCUUACGGUUCUUAUCGCCUGAAAAUACCACUAAAAUGAUACAGUGGUGAACAAUAGCCUUUAGUGAAUUCUGAGCUAUACUAGAAUGUAAUGCUGGUGUCAUCACUUUGAGAUAAAUUCUUGGAAUGAAUAAAAGAUAUUUAAUAAUAUAGUAGUAUCUGAUAUAUAAUAGACAAAGAUUGGAAUUUCAUGUAACUCAGCUUUUGGGGCAUAUUUUAUGGUUUGUUACACACUAAUGUAAUCUACUUAAGUGUAUAAUUCUGUAAUAAUCUCAAAUUACUCUUUGGCUAAACAAGAGGGAAUCUAAUAACUCUAUAAAGAGUUUUGAUAUGAUUAAUAUUUAUUUAGUUGUCCUUGUAACUGCUUUUUAAACUGCUUAUGAGUAACUGCUCUAUAAGAAUAAUUUUUGCACGUUCUGCAAGACUGCAUUUUUUUGGUCACUGGUAGCAUUACUUUGAAAUGUGGAUGAAGAUCUCAUUUUGUUUGGCUGUGAUGUGGUUUGUCCUGCAGAUUCUUAGGAGCACACCUUAUACAUGUGUACCUUAUGUCCUACGUACAUUCCUAGCCUACUGCCGAUGCGAUGCCAGGCAGCUAUAGGUUCUUACAUAAAGGUCUUGCGAGUUAUUCCAAUGCUGUAAACAAACUUGUCAUGCUGAAUGA